GUCUAUGGCCAUACCACCCUGAACGCACCCGAUCUCAUCUGAUAUUGGAAACUAAGCAGGGUCCAGCCUGGUUAAUAGUUGGAUGGGAGAGACUAUGGUAUAAUAGAGA
ensembl:rRNA 5S_rRNA 5S ribosomal RNA